rnacentral:rRNA from 1 species
UAGGGAAUCUUCGGCAAUGGGGGGAACCCUGACCGAGCAACGCCGCGUGAGUGAAGAAGGUUUUCGGAUCGUAAAGCUCUGUUGUUAAGGAAGAACGAGUGUGAGAAUGGAAAGUUCAUACUGUGACGGUACUUAACCAGAAAGGGACGGCUAACUACGUGCCAGCAGCCGCGGUAAUACGUAGGUCCCGAGCGUUGUCCGGAUUUAUUGGGCGUAAAGCGAGCGCAGGCGGUUAGAUAAGUCUGAAGUUAAAGGCAGUGGCUCAACCAUUGUAGGCUUUGGAAACUGUUUAACUUGAGUGCAGAAGGGGAGAGUGGAAUUCCAUGUGUAGCGGUGAAAUGCGUAGAUAUAUGGAGGAACACAGGUGGCGAAAGCGGCUCUCUGGUCUGUAACUGACGCUGAGGAUCGAAAGCGUGGGGAGCGAACAGG